UACGUAGGGUGCAAGUGUUGUCCGGAAUUAUUGGGCGUAAAGAGCUCGUAGGCGGUCUGUCGCGUCGGCUGUGAAAACCCGGGGCUCAACCCCGGGCCUGCAGUCGAUACGGGCAGACUAGAGUGCGGUAGGGGAGACUGGAAUUCCUGGUGUAGCGGUGAAAUGCGCAGAUAUCAGGAGGAACACCGGUGGCGAAGGCAGAUCUCUGGGCCGUAACUGACGCUGAGGAGCGAAAGCAUGGGGAGCGAACAGG
rnacentral:rRNA from 1 species